UCCUGUAACAAAUAAACCAACACACUUUCUUCAUUGAAGUAAUUCAUAUAUCAGAAACAUGGAAACUCCCAAGCCCAAAUUCUCAACUUCCUAUCAACUAAGCAUAUUCACCAACUAAUCAAGUAAGCAUACUCAAAAGAUCUCACGUGCCCAAACUCCAAAAUGCUUUAACUCCAGCUAAUCAAGUAAUCACUGCUCUCUCCGAUUUCCGAUUUCACCGAAAACGCAGUACACUUGAUUACCAUGAAAUCCGACCUGAGAUUCUUAACUCCGGCGAGAUCCUUGGACAUCUCUUGAGCUUCAACGAACUCAGUUAAUCACUUGAGACCCAGCGUUCCCUUCAAUUCCAUGAUUAAAUCCCUCUUCAAUUUCUUCGAAUCUGUCCCAAAUCUCUUACUCAAUUACUCUGCCGAGCUUGGGGUGAACCCAGGAACUUCAGAGAAGCAUUAGGAGUUUUGGAAGAAGACUGGAGCAACUAAAGCAGCUCGGAAUAACGUUGGUUUGGGCUCUUAGCAGAUCAACAAGACCUCACUUGAAUGAGGAUUGCUCAGCACUCGGAGCAACAAGAAUUGGAACUGGAGCUGGAGCUUACGUAUUGGAUAUGGGGAUUAUGCACGUCAUUCCAAGUAGAUGAAUUAACCCUCUCACGUUGCUUUGGCCAAAUAUAUGAAAUACAUAGUCUAGGACUCAUGGUUAAAUUUUAUUGAAUUAUUAUUGAUGCAUUAAAUGCUUGUGAAAACCCAAGACUAGACAACUUUUAAGAUAUGAUUGUUUUGAGUGUUAGAAACCUGAGAGUAAUGAGGUUUUGGCAUACCGGUCCAGGACCCCUCGGUGUCGAAACCGUAAAACCUCCUGAGGGGCAAUGUCUUGUUACCAUUCUAUCUUGCGCGCUAUACUUUUAUUUUAGGGUAUUGUUUUAAAUGGACACUCUCGCUCUCUUAUUGUUAUUGUAACAGUAGGGGUAAUUGACUUGUUCUCCUCCUAGUCAUUAGGAUCGGUUGUGCAUUUCUAUUAUUUUACCACAAUCCU